AUGAGCGAGACUUUUGGUGACAGGGAAUUAAGGAACAACAACCAGCAGAGUGGCGUGCUGGCCGGCGGUGAUGCCAACGCCAACGAAAUCCAGACAGAGGAUUGCGCGACGACGGACGACGUCGGCACUCUGUCUGGGCCGGUGACCGAAACGGCUCAGCGGGACAAAGUCAUCAUCUGGGGUACUGACUCGCAGUGCGAUGACCCCGAGCUGGCUGAGUUUGAGAUGCUGGAGUGUCAAGAGCUCGAGGCCUACCUGGUUGAGGAUGGGCAGGACUUUGUGGGACUCGCAGACCGUAAACCGCUUCAAGGACAGCGUUCGGCGUGUAGCAAAGAUACAGUAGAACCAGUAAUGGAUAACAAGAGCAGGGGAGAGAGAAGGUCUGUUCUGCACGGGGCCAGUGAGCAGGAAUCGAGUGCCGCUCACAUCUCUGAGAGCAGAGAGGUUUCCGGAACAGAGUUGAGCUCAGAAACGGAUGUUUUUGUAACCUGUCUGUCCACCAUUUCAAGCAUGGACACUGCUAUGGACACCGCUAGCAGGACGCAGACUACAGACUCCUGGAACAUGGCCUCCGGUCCUUACUCAACCAUCUCAGAAGACUUGACUCUGGUGUCCCAGAAUGGCAACAACAUCCCAGAGAGAGUCAAGGCCUCUUCCCUCUCUUCUGGAGACAGCACAAUACACGGGAACCACGUGGACAUGAACUCGAAUUCAGCAGUUAAAAAAUCAGUCGUGGGCAAUGGAGUAGAACUGUGUGAAGGUGUCAUUGAUGAGCACAAGAACAACAAAAACCAGGGAAUUAAAGCAGGGAAAACCAUUUCCGAGGGGGAUUCUUAUCGACGGAGAAGCACAGAGCACAAAGGUUCACACGCUGCAAACGUAUCACAUGAUGAAAGCACACAAAUGGACAAAAGCACACAAGCUGAUGAGAGCCCUGCUGUGAACCACAACCUGACAAAAACAGGUGCAAAGGGGUCUCCGUCGCCAAUGGAAUCCAAAUCCACAAAGACACAAGGAUCGUCUGAUACCUCGUUCAAAAAACAGAACUCCUUUGACAGGAGUUUCAAAAAGCAGCCAUCGUUUGAGAAUACUGUAAAAAAGCAGCAUUCCUUUGACAACAGCUUGAAAAAGCAAGGCUCCUUUGAGAAAAGCGCCACCUCCAGCUCUUCAAGUCUGGAGAGGAGGAAGCCAUGGGGAAGUCCCAGUCGACCAGCCACUCCUGCUUCACCUAAAACGACCUCCUGUUCCCCCAGAAGGCAACGGCUCGGUUCUCCAGCCAAGGUCCAGAGCAUCGGGGCACUGAGCUUGGAGCGCAGUGACUCCCCUCAGAGAGAUUUAGGUCAAUCAGUCCGACAACCAAUUAAGACGAGUUUGAGCAGUUGCAUCCCCAAACCCGUCACGUCCCAGCAGAAAGAACCUGAACCUAGGAGGACUUCUCCCCAGAAGCCUAAAAAUGUCCGACCAAAAAUCAUCACCUGUGUCCGUAAAAAUCCUCAAGCAAAACAACAAGGGACGGAUGCUCCACUCGAAGCUCCCACACAUCCACUUAGACUGUCUUCUUACUCCAGCUCACCAGCUCAAAACACUCCUAAGGUUGGUCCUCAAGCAAAAUCUACCUCUGUGCUGUGUUCCUCCAACCUGCUGUUCGACAAAUAUCAACAGGAGAUGCAGAAGAGGGGGGGGCUAUCCUCCGGGCACGGCUGCGACUGCGGUCAAACCUUCGAGCAGCACCAUCCCUCAAAGGCUGGGUGGGAAGUCGGGCAGUUUCCAUGA
ensembl:lncRNA